UCUUUUCGAGUCUUUUCUUUUUCUUUAUCUUUAUCUUUUUCUUUUUCUUUAUCU
rnacentral:ribozyme from 13 species